rnacentral:ncRNA from 1 species
ACCGGACCGCCCCCGGCGGCUCCCCGGACGAGACGCGCCGUACCCGGAACGCCAAGACGACGCAUC